rnacentral:rRNA from 1 species
UGAGGAAUAUUGGGCAAUGCCCGAAAGGGUGACCCAGCAACGCCGCGUGGAGGAUGAAUGCCGUAAGGUUGUAAACUCCUGUUAGAGGGGAAGAAAAAUUCCGAUCGAAUCGGAAACUGACUGUACCCUCAGAGAAAGCCCCGGCUAACUACGUGCCAGCAGCCGCGGUAAUACGUAGGGGGCAAGCGUUGUCCGGAUUCACUGGGUGUAAAGGGCGCGCAGGUGGGUUAGCAAGUCAGAGGUGAAAUCCUACAGCUUAACUGUAGAACUGCCUUUGAGACUGUUAAUCUUGAGUAUGGAAGAGAGAGAUGGAAUUCCAGGUGUAGUGGUGAAAUACGUAGAUAUCUGGAAGAACACCAGUGGCGAAGGCGGUCUCUUGGUCCAUUACUGACGCUUAGGCGCGAAAGCGUGGGGAGCAAACAGG